rnacentral:rRNA from 1 species
GGCGAACGCUGGCGGCGUGCUUAACACAUGCAAGUCGAACGGAAGGGCCCUGCUUUUGUGGGGUGCUCGAGUGGCGAACGGGUGAGUAACACGUGUGUAACCUGCCCUUGACUUUGGGAUAACUUCAGGAAACUGGGGCUAUUACCGGAUAGGAUCUCCUGCUGCAUGGUGGGCAUUGGAAAGUUUCGGCGGUUGGGGAUGGACUCGCGGCUUAUCCGCUUGUUGGUGGGGUAGUGGCUUACCAAGGCUGUGACGGGUAGCCGGCCUGGGAGCGUGACCGGCCACAUUGGGACUGAGAGACGGCCCAGACUCCUACGGGAGGCAGCAGUGGGGAAUAUUGCACAAUGGGCGGAAGCCUGAUGCAGCAACGCCGCGUGCGUGAUGACGGCCUUCGGGUUGUAAACCGCUUUCGCCUGUGACGAAGCGUGAGUGACGGUAAUGGGUAAAGAAGCACCGGCUAACUACGUG